rnacentral:lncRNA from 1 species
GUUGACUCCAUUGACUAUUUUCUUGAUAAUGUAGCUGGGAUAAACUAGAAAACAAGUUUCCCCACGGUCAGCUGGAAAUACUCAUAUUGCACUUGGACGGAGCAGAUUGUUUCUGAAGAGGGCCAGUGAUGAGCACCAGUUCCCUCCUUGCCCAGGCCAACAGCGUUUCACAGGACCCCUGGGCUCGUCCUGAUGGUUCUCUUCCAAACGAUGAUCUAGAAAGAUGCCCCGUGUUAAGCUGCUUGCCUUUCGAAGGUCUUCAAAUCAUUGUUCCUCCAUAUCAUAUUCAGAGCUAGUGCUUUCAUGCUGAUGUGGAAACAUCUAAGAGGACUCAUAAUGUCAACAUGCAUUUCCCCAAUAAGUAAACAAGAGAAAUGACACUGACAAGAACAAGAAAUGAUUAUUUCUUCUGCCAAAGUUGGAAGCGAC